CAUAAUACAAAGUUUAAAAAGAAUUCUGGAUUGCAGUCAUGCUUUAUUCUGCCUUCAGGUACCUGUGUGGCCGUGGAUGCGUCACAGCCUUCUUCAGAAGACUGACAGCUUCUACCUGCAUGGCUUUUCCCAGGGUCACACAUGGCCUCCUAUGCAAGGACCUCACAUGCUGUUUCUGCAGGGUCUCCCCAUCUCCGUCAUUCAGCAAAGGGCAGAGACCCAACCGGGAGGCAGUGACAUCUCCGUCCAAAUCCAACCAUUCCAAAGAGCCAUUGCCACUGACAACCUCUCCGACCUGGGAACGAGGAAUGAGCGCGGGUGCCCUUCUGAGAAACAAAGUCCUGCCCCCAACAAGCUUAUAACUUAGAUGAGAAAAUUGAUGUCCAGAGACUUUCCCAAGGACACAGAGCUAGCAAACACAGGCAGAAAAGUUAUCCUGGGAAUGGAAGAACUGAGGAAGCCCAGGAAAAGGACCUGGAUUCAGCUAAGUACUUUUCAUAAACAGAGAACGUGAGAAAAAACAAAGUAUGCCAAGUUUAGGCUACUGUCCCUAUCCAAAGGAAGUUAUCAUGAACCCCUAAGAGAACAAAACAAAGAAAGCCAGUCACCAUCCCCUAAGGCAAACACACUCCCCACUCAAGGCUCAAUGGAGACAACUGUCUCUAAACUAGAUAGAACCUCUCCGUCUGAGGAAUAAUGGGAGGAGAUGAGACCCACUACCAGGGUGAUAUAAACCACAAAUGAGUCCACCCAACAAACCCACCUUCAAUUCAUUUUGGAGAACCAGCUCCUUCAGAUUCUCAUCCUUUUCCUCAUUCAAUGAACUGAAGUUUCUCUGCACAAAGAGAAAGAUGUGCUUCAUGGGUCUCACCCUUACUCUUAUGAAGGAAAAGAAGGGCAGAUUAAAAAAAAAAAAAAACGACCUUAUCAUUAAAAUCAGAAACAAAUCAGAAGCUUAAAUAUUGGGGAUCAAUUUGGUACAAAGGAGGAAAAUUCAAAGAAAUUCUUCUGGAGGGGCCCAUUCUCUUAAUCCUCCUACACACAGAAUAACAGCCAUUCAGGCAAUUGCCCUUCGGACAGCAAAGAUGAUAUAUUGAUGAUGCCCACCCCAUCCGAAACUACUCAGGUAAUCAGAGUAAUCUAAGUCCUGUCUUUGCUCCUGACUCUGUUCUACAAGUGUCACUUAAGCGAAAACACAAAAUGCAGCAGAGCUCAGCUUCCAUGCAGAAGAAAAGCAGGUUUUGUGUACAGAAAAGUUCCGAUUGCCUGAAUACCAGUUCGAAGCUCAACAGCAUGGCUUUUAGUCUUCUGAUCUCCUCCCUGAGUUCUCGGAUCAGUUUUAUAUUGGCAUCCUGAAACAUAAAAAACUUGGUCACCACUGAUUGAUAUCAGGCCUCAACCAGCUUUAAAAUAAAACAGAGAAUUAGUUCGGAAAAAGUGGUUUACUCCUGUGGAGUAACUUCUGAGGCAGUCUUCUCAAAGUAUGAUCCCAGAACCCUAUCAACUUUACCUAAAAACUUGUUAGAAAUGCAAAUUCUGCCCCCCACCAACACCUACCGAAUCAGAAACUCUUGAGAGGCAGAGCCCAGUUGUGGUUUAACCAACCCUCAAGGAGUUGAUUCUGAUAAAGUAUGAGAAUCAGUGUCCUUGAGCAGGAGGUUGACAGGUAACCCAAAAAGCAGCACAAAUAGGUGGUAGAUGUUGGCCUUCCUAUAGUGUGACUGAAUUUAGUACCUACUUAAUUACAUUGCCUUCUAAAACAGUUCAUAAAUGGGCUAUAAAGGUCUAGCCACCAGUUUAUGAUUCCUGCCCUGAAACUUUUCACUGAAACUGCAAAGAUAAGGAAUUUUUCAUUAUUAGUCAACUUUCAAAACUAUUAAAUUCCUUACAAGCCCCUUUUAGCCCGAAACAGAGAAAUCACUGCAGUUUGCAUAGAAAAGAAAGAAAACAGGGGUGCCUGGGUGGCUCGGUUGGUCAAGCGUCCAACUCCUGGUUUCAGCUCAGAUUAUGAAACCUUGUGGUUUCAUGGGGACAGUCCCCUUGUCAGGCUCCACAAUGAUAGUACAGAGCCUGCUUGGGAUUCUCUGUCUCCCUCUCUAUCUGCCCCUCCACCACUCACACUGUCUCUGUCUCUCUCAAAAUAAAUAAACUUAAAAAAAAAAAAAGAAAAAGAAAAGAUAUAAAACAGAAGCAUAUAUCAACAUAAACUCAAAAUAAAAGCAAUAAACACAGAAACUUUUAAAUGAUCUCCCUUAAGGUGGCAGUGGUACACCAGGGAUGGCCUCAGAGAAGUAUCUAAAAUAAACUAUUCAAAAAGGCAACUGAAAUGGAGUCAGUAAAGAUACGGGAGAAGGGUAUGACUCUGAAACAAAGAAUUUCACUCUUUCUUUAUUUGGAGAAGAAGGUCAGGCAAGUUGAGGUGACUGUAAGGAGAAAGAAAUCAGUGAGAGAAUAAAAGAACUUAAUGUAAACAAUACCAAACCAGGACUUCAAAUAAAGGUCUCACCUCAUU